rnacentral:misc_RNA from 1 species
GACAGACCCAUCCGAUAGAAGAUGUCCCUGAGGUGGGGCGGACCUUGCUUAGCAUCAGGAAGUCGUCCUUCUUUUGGGCAAACUGAAGAGUCCCUUCUACCCGGUACGAAGUCAAUAGUGGGUCCUCCAGUUACCUCGACAGCUACUACUCCAGCAAGCUGAUAAAGGUCUGCAUAGGUAAUCCUCGAAUGUUUUGCCUUCACUGGCUCACAAAGAUUUAUAGCUAUUUUUAGGCCAGCAUUAGCACCAUGGUUCAAUUCUUCCUCAAACCUAAUUGAACCAUUUGGACCACCUGUUUUUGUGUUUA